ACUCAAACGGGAGGCCGCAGUAAAGGCAUAUUGGUCAAUGGACGCAAGUCUGAACCAGCCAUGCCUGCGUGGAGGAUGAAUGGCCCUCUGGGUUUGUACCAACCUUCUUUUAUCUGGGAAGAAACCCAUCUUUUCUAAGGUGGUUGACGGUACCAGUUGAAUAAGCAUCCGGUAACUCCGUGCCAGUCAGCCGCGGUAAUACGGAGGGUGCAAGC
rnacentral:rRNA from 1 species